AUGUCUGGUUUGUUUGGCGCACCAGCUCAGCGUGGCCCUUGCCCAUUAUCACUGCUGCUUUUACUCCUGCUCGGCCCCAGCUUGGUGCUCGCCAUCUCCUUACGUCUGCCGCUUAACUCCCGCAAGUGCCUCUGCGAGGAGAUCCACAAGGACCUGCUGGUGACGGGCGCGUACGAGAUCACCGUGGUACCAGUCUGGGGGCGCUGGCGGCCCGCGAACCCACCUCAAGAUCACAGAUUUGCUGGUCAUAUUCUGUACUCCAAGGAAGAUGCAACCAAGGGGAAAUUUGCCUUUACCACUGAAGAUUAUGACAUGUUUGAAGUGUGUUUUCAGAGCAAGGGAACAGGGCGGAUACCUGAUCAACUCGUGAUUCUAGACAUGAAGCAUGGAGUGGAGGCGAAAAAUUACGAAGAGAUUGCCAAGGUUGAGAAGCUCAAAUCUUAGAAGUGGAGCUCCGACGCUUAGAAGACCUUUCAGAAUCCAUCGUUAAUGAUUUUGCCUACAUGAAGAAGCGAGAGGAGGAGAUGCGAGAUACCAGUGAGUCAACACUCCGGUCCUGUACUUCAGCAUCUUUUCAAUGAUCUGCCUCAUUGGACUAGCCACAUGGCAGUUCUUCUACCUGCGUUGCUUCUUCAAGGCCAAGAAGUUGAUGGAGUUAUAAGGCCCAGUCUCCUCCCACCUUGUAUCUCAGCCAGCUGAACAUCACUGGGACAUGUCUGACCUAAGGCAUCCUACUAACACCUAACACCUAGCACCAUCAAGGCACACUGAAGCUUUCUUCCCAGAACUGAUCUCUUUUGGUGUGGGAGGACAGGGGUUACCACCUACACCCAACAAGUCAAUGAGGGACUUCUUUUUAACUUGGUAGCAUUUGGACUGGUUUUGCAACAAUAGGACUAUUAUUAGAGUCACCUAUGACAAAAAAUAGGGGUUACCUAGAUGAUGCCAAAGUCAGCAUUUGUACUGGGUUUCCUCCUGUGAUCUGUUUGAAUCACGUUUUCUUUCCUUUUCCUACUCGCUCACCAGCUUGGGCUUCCACUUUAGUUCCUUUACCAAGGUUUGUAUGACCAUGUUGAACUUGUUUCAUUCUGAUUGUCCUCUUUGGAUUUCUUUGUGAAAACACACUUCACUUUCUCUUGACCCUUAGCUGAAAUGUUUAGAUAGCUUCUGGUAAUAUCCUUUCAUAAAUUUAUGUCUCUUAAAAGGGUGAUAGAUGGGACACCUCAUAGAAUUGAGCCUUGAACUGUACAUAACUCUUAAAGAGGACUUCAUUUUAGAGAAUUAACAUAUUUGUGCUCAACUGCCUGAACCUCUUUUGUGUAUUUAUGUGUGUUUAGUUCUGUGC